rnacentral:rRNA from 1 species
UACGUAGGGUGCAAGCGUUGUCCGGAAUUAUUGGGCGUAAAGAGCUCGUAGGCGGUCUGUCGCGUCUGCUGUGAAAACUCGGGGCUUAACCCCGGGCCUGCAGUGGGUACGGGCAGACUAGAGUGCGGUAGGGGAGACUGGAAUUCCUGGUGUAGCGGUGAAAUGCGCAGAUAUCAGGAGGAACACCGGUGGCGAAGGCGGGUCUCUGGACAGUUCCUGACGCUGAGGCACGAAGGUCAGGGGAGCAAACGGG